GUGGGAGCCGUGGAGGGAACUUUCCCAGUCCCCGAGGCGGAUCCGGUGUUGCAUCCUUGGAGCGAGCUGAGAGCUCGAGGUGAGCUGGGCUCGCGGUCGCCCCUCUCGCGCGCCCUCUUUAAGAACCACGGCGUCCAACCUCCCUGGAAAUGGGGGGAACAUGGCCGAGGCGCGUGGCGAGGCCGCCUCGUGGAGGCCCCGGAGCGGCAUCCUCAGCGCCCCAGCGAUCCGGUGCCCAUUAGUACAGAACCUGCUAAGGCCAUCAAACCUAUUGAUCGGAAGUCAGUCCAUCAGAUUUGCUCUGGGCCGGUGGUACCGAGUCUAAGCACUGCGGUGAAGGAGUUAGUAGAAAACAGUCUGGAUGCUGGUGCCACUAAUAUUGUAGAGAUAGAGUUUCUCCAUGUUGGUCAGGCUGGUCUCGAACUACUGACCUCAGGUGAUCCGCUCGCUUUGGUCUCCCAAAGUGCUGGGAUUACAGGCAUGAACCACCGCGCCUGGCCCCCGUUCUCCUUACUGGAUCUAAAGCUUAAGGACUAUGGAGUGGAUCUCAUUGAAGUUUCAGGCAAUGGAUGUGGGGUAGAAGAAGAAAACUUCGAAGGCUUAACUCUGAAACAUCACACAUCUAAGAUUCAAGAGUUUGCCGACCUACCUCAGGUUGAAACUUUUGGCUUUCGGGGGGAAGCUCUGAGCUCACUUUGUGCACUGAGUGAUGUCACCAUUUCUACCUGCCAUGUAUCGGCGAAGGUUGGGACUCGACUGGUGUUUGAUCACUAUGGGAAAAUCAUCCAGAAAACCCCCUACCCCCACCCCAGAGGGAUGACAGUCAGUGUGAAGCAGUUAUUUUCUACGCUACCUGUGCACCAUAAAGAAUUUCAAAGGAAUAUUAAGAAGAAACGUGCCUGCUUCCCCUUCGCCUUCUGCCGUGAUUGUCAGUUUCCUGAGGCCUCCCCAGCCAUGCUUCCUGUACAGCCUGCAGAACUGACUCCUAGAAGUACCCCACCCCACCCCUGCUCCUUGGAGGACAACGUGAUCACUGUAUUCAGCUCUGUCAAGAAUGGUCCAGGUUCUUCUAGAUGAUCUGCACAAAUGGCUCCUCUCCUCCUUCCUGAUGUCUGCCAUUAGCACUGGAAUAAAGUUCCUGCUGAAAAUC
rnacentral:lncRNA from 1 species